GCUGGUAUGUUUUCUUCCUUGUCUUGUCGGUUCGCUGUUUUUGUCUCUGCCAUGAGCUGGUAAGCUCUAUGAGAGCGGGGACCUCAUUCUAAUGAUACUAUGUACUCUUGUGUCUAAAGCAGGGCUUGGCACACAGAAGACUACGCAGUAAAGGGCUUUUCAGUGGAUGAGAAAGUUGAAUGAGUCUCUGCUCCCUGCAACCCGAAAUGUCUUGGCUCAGACAGUAACUCCUGCUGGCGCUCCCACAAUGCCCGCGCCACCCCCAGGAUUGCCAGCCGCACACCGUGUUGUCAUGAUCCCGUCCCUGUCUGCCACCCCUCCAGGACCCUGUGUUCUUUGAAGAGAAGUCCAUGGGCUUAUUCAUCUCUUGUGUUCCCAGAGCCCAGCACGAGCCCUCGUUCCCAGCGGGCGCUCAGAUCAGAGGGCUCUCCUUCCACUGUUCUGUCACCAGACUCAUCAUUGCGGACACUUCCUGCGGCGGAGAUGCUGUUUCCCACCAAACCCUGUCCUCCUCUGGCCUGUCCAGCCAGAGUCCACGCUUCCCAGGCCUCCCGGCGGCCAGCGCCCAGGCACGCGCAGGCAGGC